GACGAACGCUGGCGGCGUGCUUAACACAUGCAAGUCGAACGGAAAGGCCCUUCGGGGUACUCGAGUGGCGAACGGGUGAGUAACACGUGGGUGAUCUGCCCUGCACUUUGGGAUAAGCCUGGGAAACUGGGUCUAAUACCGAAUAGGACCACGCGCUUCAUGGUGUGUGGUGGAAAGCUUUUGCGGUGUGGGAUGGGCCCGCGGCCUAUCAGCUUGUUGGUGGGGUAAUGGCCUACCAAGGCGACGACGGGUAGCCGGCCUGAGAGGGUGACCGGCCACACUGGGACUGAGAUACGGCCCAGACUCCUACGGGAGGCAGCAGUGGGGAAUAUUGCACAAUGGGCGCAAGCCUGAUGCAGCGACGCCGCGUGAGGGAUGACGGCCUUCGGGUUGUAAACCUCUUUCACCAGGGACGAAGCGUAAGUGACGGUACCUGGAGAAGAAGCACCGGCCAUCUACGUG
rnacentral:rRNA from 1 species